GGGGUGUCGAGGCGGUCUGUGGGUNUGCGACUUCAUCGGUUCGGGGNGGCGACGGCCCUUGAGUGGGUCUGUGACUUCGACGGCCGUGCAUUGUCGNGYCCCUGCGGUGACYGUCAGCAUCGGAGUAGCCCGUGGCGGAGAGGGGUCGGCCGGGUAGGUAAUCUCGGAGGCAGUUGCACUCAGAGGGACCUAUAGCCGGUCCGAUUCGGGCGUCGUGGCUUUUCCGUGGUGUGUCUAGGGCGACAUUUCGCCCGAGGUUGUGAGGUGCGGGCCGUCACCRUUGCUGUGACGGUUCGGGCUGUUUCCCGUUCGAAGGGUCUCUGGCGAGGUUUGCGACCAGGUGCCGAGAGUGUUCUAGGAGGUGCUGGGUUCUGGGUGUGCCCCCCGUCUGGGCCUUCUAGUGGAUUCGUCCGCGUUCCGUGCCCAGGUUGCGGGCGUGGAGUCGGGACCCCCUGCCCCGUCUUG
rnacentral:sRNA from 1 species